AACGAACGCUGGCGGCAUGCCUAACACAUGCAAGUCGAACGAGACCUUCGGGUCUAGUGGCGCACGGGUGCGUAACGCGUGGGAACCUGCCCUUAGGUUCGGAAUAACUCCCCGAAAGGGGUGCUAAUACCGGAUAAUGUCUUCGGACCAAAGAUUUAUCGCCUUUGGAUGGGCCCGCGUUGGAUUGGCUAGUUGGUAGGGUAAAAGCCUACCAAGGCGACGAUCCAUAGCUGGUCUGAGAGGAUGAUCAGCCACACUGGGACUGAGACACGGCCCAGACUCCUACGGGAGGCAGCAGUAGGGAAUAUUGGACAAUGGGCAAAAGCCUGAUCCAGCAAUGCCGCGUGAGUGAUGAAGGCCUUAGGGUUGUAAAGCUCUUUUACCCGGGAUGAUAAUGACAGUACCGGGAGAAUAAGCUCCGGCUAACUCCGUG
rnacentral:rRNA from 1 species